AGUGAACGCUGGCGGUAGGCCUAACACAUGCAAGUCGAACGGCAGCACAGGAGAGCUUGCUCUCUGGGUGGCGAGUGGCGGACGGGUGAGGAAUACAUCGGAAUCUACUCUGUCGUGGGGGAUAACGUAGGGAAACUUACGCUAAUACCGCAUACGACCUACGGGUGAAAGCAGGGGACCCUCGGGCCUUGCGCGAUUGAAUUAGCCGAUGUCGGAUUAGCUAGUUGGCGGGGUAAAGGCCCACCAAGGCGACGAUCCGUAGCUGGUCUGAGAGGAUGAUCAGCCACACUGGAACUGAGACACGGUCCAGACUCCUACGGGAGGCAGCAGUGGGGAAUAUUGGACAAUGGGCGCAAGCCUGAUCCAGCCAUACCGCGUGGGUGAAGAAGGCCUUCGGGUUGUAAAGCCCUUUUGUUGGGAAAGAAAUCCAGCUGGCUAAUACCCGGUUGGGAUGACGGUACCCAAAGAAUAAGCACCGGCUAACUUCGUGCCAGCAGCCGCAGUAA
rnacentral:rRNA from 1 species